rnacentral:rRNA from 1 species
AGAUUUAGAUCCUGGUCUCAGAACGAAUCGCUGGGCGGUCUGUGGAUAACGACAUGCAAGUCUGAACGCUUGAUUUCCCGUACGCAAUAUGGGAAGUCAGGAGUGGCGCAAGGGUGCGUAACACGUGGCAUCAUCUGCCUGGAAGUUCGGAAUAAUUCCGCGAAAGCGGGACUAAUGCCGGAUGUGGUUGGAAGACUAAAGCUGGGGACCCGCAAGGGCCUGGCGCUUCCAGAUAGUCCGCGGACCUAUCAGCUAGUUGCGCGGGGUAACGGCCCACCAAGGCUAAGACGGGUAGCUGGUCUGAGAGGACGACCAGCCUCACUGGAACUGAUGACACGGUCCAGACACCUACGGGUGGCAUCAGUCGCAGAAUUUUUCUCAAUGGGCCAAAGCCUGAAGGAGCGACGCCGCGUGGGGNAUGAAGGGCUUCGGCCCGUAAACCCCUGUCAUUUGCAAACAAACCUUACUUAUGAACAAUAGGUGAGCUGAUUGUAGCGAAAGAGGAAGGGACGGCUAACUCUGUGCCAUGCAGCCGCGGUAAUACAGAGGUCCCGAGCGUUGUUCGGAUUCACUGGGCGUNAAGGGUGCGCAGGUGGGUUGGCAAGUUCGAUGUGAAAGCCCCGGGCUUAACCCGGGAAUGGCAUUUGGAAACUGCUGAUCUGGAGGAUCGGAGGGGGGACUGGAAUUCUUGGUUGUAGCAGUUGAAAUGCGUAGAUAUCAAGAGGGAACAACCCAGUGGCCGAAAGGCGAAGUCCCUGGACGAUACCUGACACUGAGGCACGAAAGCCAAGGGAGCAAACAGGAUUAGAUACCCUGGUAGUCUUGGCUGUAAACGGUGCGCAUUUGCUGUAAACGGAAUCGACCCCGUUUGUGGCGAAGCUAACGCGAUAAAUGCGCCGCCUGGGAAGUACGGUCGCAAGAUUAAAACUCAAAGAAAUUGACGGGGGCCUGCACAAGCGGUGGAGUAUGUGGCUUAAUUCGAUGCAACGCGAAGAACCUUACCUGGCCUUGACAUGCAAGUGGUAGAACCAUGAAAGUGGGACGACCCCGCAAGGGGAGCUUGCACAGGUGCUGCAUGGCUGUCGUCAGCUCGUGUCGUGAGAUGUUGGGUUAAGUCCCGCAACGAGCGCAACCCUUGUGUCCUGUUGCCACUCCUUCGAGAGAAGGAAGCACUCUGGACAGACUGCCUCGCUUAAACGAGGAGGAAGGUGGGGAUGACGUCAAGUCAGUAUGGCCCUUACGGCCAGGGCUGCACACGUACUACAAUGCAUGGCACAAAGGGAAGCUAGACCGUCAGGUGGAGCAAAUCCCAUAAAACCAUGCCCAGUUCAGAUUGUCGUCUGCAACUCGACGACAUGAAGCCGGAAUCGCUAGUAAUGGCGCAUCAGCUACGGCGCCGUGAAUACGUUCCCAGGCCUUGUACACACCGCCCGUCACAUCAUGAAAGCCGGUUGUACCCGAAGUCCACUCUGCUAACCGCAAGGAGGCAGUGGCCGAAGGUAUGGCUGGUGAUUGGGAUGAAGUCGUACAAGGUAGCCGUAGGGGAACCUGCGGCUGGAUCACCUCCU